rnacentral:rRNA from 1 species
UACGAAGGGGGCUAGCGUUGCUCGGAAUUACUGGGCGUAAAGGGCGCGUAGGCGGACAGUUUAGUCAGAGGUGAAAGCCCGAGGCUCAACCUCGGAACUGCCUUCGAUACUGCGGGUCUCGAGUCCGGGAGAGGUGAGUGGAAUUCCUAGUGUAGAGGUGAAAUUCGUAGAUAUUAGGAAGAACACCAGUGGCGAAGGCGGCUCACUGGCCCGGUACUGACGCUGAGGCGCGAAAGCGUGGGGAGCAAACAGG